CACACAGGAAACGGCUCCAAACUGGUUUUAUUCACCAAAAAUUCCUGUGAUCGGGUUUUCAGUUCCGCAGCGCUAGUGCAGACAGAUGAUGGAGCUUCUUUAAGAAGAAUGAAAAGUUACAGUUCUCAAAAAAGAGAAUGAAGCUUGAUCACAUUAGUGAAAGGGAUUUUAAAAGAAAGUCUCAAAAACUACUACCCAAACCAAUGUAUGUACUGUCAGACAAACCUUUGUGGGAUGAAGAGGAAAAUCAGUUUUUUCUAUCACCCACAAGUAUGCGAAGAUGAUACACAAGAAAUUCUCAGAGGCAGACUUGUAACCAUAACACAGAUCAAAAUGAAGCUGUGGAUAAUGCACAGCAACAGCUCGACCAUCUAAAGAAGACCACAAAGGAGGUAGAGGCCAAGACUCUCUCCUUUUCCCAGAUUUCUCUCCUUUCUACACAGUUCACGAUAGAAGACAGUUGUGGAACUCAGUACGGGGAAGAUAUUCUCAACACCUUGGAAGGUGACAACUGCAUGACAAAAUCAUACAGAAUCACAGAAAGGACCACAGCAGCUCACCUACUCCAGCCUAGAGCAGUUUACUGAGAAUUAUGUCCAGGCCAGGCUGGAUGAGACUCUGAGCAGCCUGCACGAGUGGCAGGUGUCCCUGCCCAUGGCAGGGAGGUUGGAUUGGAUGAUCUUUAGGGUCCCAUUCAACACAAACCAUUCUAUGACUCCAUGCCAUACUAAAGCCAUCCAGCUCUCCCCUAGACAUGUACACAACGCUUUGCAGAAAGUUGUGAGUUCUUCUUCGAUAACGGGUAAAAACAUGUGUUCUGUUUGUUUCAAGUAUUCAGAGCUUAUCUUCAGAGUACAAAGUCUCCGUAAGAAUUUGGCAAGGCAAGCGAAAAACACAAGGUUUAGAAAGACAAAAAUGAAACAUAGCUUUGAACACAUCUUGUUGUCAAUAAUACAAAAGCACAAGUCACCAAUUAAGAUUUCACUUAUCAGGCAUUAUAUUUAAAAAAAGAGUACACUAAAACCCAUUUAUACAAUGGUUUUCACAAAAAAGGAGUAAAAACUCUCUAGACAACAAGUAACGCAAUCAAUGCACCAUUCAACAAAACAGAUUUUAAUGUGGCAUAUGAAGGCAUCUGUGAGGCAGCAGGCUUGUAGAUACUUAUGAAGAGAUGCUUCUACAUAAAGACUCUGCAUAAUGGGGGCUAUUUGUGGAAUUUAUCUGCAUGCCACUUAACAGCAUCAUUUGCAAAGUAGAGGUACAUACCAGCCUCGAAAAGCAAGUACAAAUAAACAGAGAAAGGGAAAUAUACAAGUCCAGGAAAAGCCAUAAAAAUUAAUACUAGUUUAACAACUAGUCAUGUGUCAUGCUGAAGGAUUCGAAGGGCAAUGACACUGUCAAAGCAACAAGAAUUGAGCAACCUGUCUUCACAUCAGUGUUUUGAACCUACAUGUCUGGCACACAGCAGUUACUCAGCACACAGAAGGCAGAGAAGGACAUCUUAGAUAAAGAACAAGAUUUAACUGCAUGAUAAUAAAACAGCAAUGCAGAAGCAGUCAAAGGUUUUAGAUCCUGCCUGCAAGUGGGAAGAUGCCAAACCUGCAAACCACCGAAGUGAUUUACAGGCUGGCCCAAGAUGACUGCUAGGCAAGAGACUCAACAGUACCCAAAUGACUUACAGAGUCAUUGUACUACACAAACAACGUUAGAAAAACGGCAUCUCUCAACAGAUUUCUAAACAUCACAGCAUCUGUCACAGUACAGAAUAACCUUCCAAAGGAAACCCCGCUGCUUUGGAAUUUCUAAUGCAAGGAACUGUAGAAACACAUCACCUAGUCUCACAGGAGGAGACCACAAAAUUCAAAGCAGCUGACAUCAACUGACAAAGCUACUUGUACUGCUCAAAUGCAUUUUGAACUUUUACUAUCAAAAACAAAAAGUGAUUUUACCCUUCUAACAUGAACAGGCACAGCAAAAAGGUCCAUGAAAUGAGUUUUUAUUCACGUAAUUUCUAAAUGAGAUGACUAGAGCAAUGAAAAUGAAUAAACGGAACAAAACUUC